UCGAGGAUCUUUAGCAAUGGGCGAAAGCCUGACUAUGCGACGCCGCGUGAGGGAUGAAGGUUUUCGGAUCGUAAACCUCUUUCGAUGGGGAAGAAUACCUCAGCAAUAACAUUGUUGAGGGUUGACGGUACCUAGAGAAGAAGCCACGGCCAACUCCGUGCCAGCAGCCGCGGUAAUACGGGGGUGGCGAGCGUUACUCGGAUUCAUUGGGUGUAAAGGACAGGUAGGCGGCUAUGCAAGUUGGAGGUGAAAUCCUGCGGCUCAACCGCAGAACUGCCUUCAAAACUGCAUAGCUUGAGGCUAGAAGAGGAGAGUGGAAUUCCCGGUGUAAGGGUGAAAUCUGUAGAUAUCGGGAGGAACACCAGUGGCGCAAGCGGCUCUCUGGUCUAGCCCUGACGCU
rnacentral:rRNA from 1 species